rnacentral:rRNA from 1 species
CCUACGGGAGGCUGCAGUGGGGAAUAUUGGGCAAUGGGCGCAAGCCUGACCCAGCAACGCCGCGUGCAGGAAGAAGGCUUUCGGGUUGUAAACUUCUUUUGUCAGGGAAGAGCAGAAGACGGUACCUGUCGAAUAAGCCACGGCUAACUACGUGCCAGCAGCCGCGGUAAUACGUUGGUGGCAAGCGUUGUCCGGCUUUACUUGGUGGAAAGGGCGUGUAGCCGGGCUUACAAGUCAGAUGUGAACUCCGGGGGCUCAACCCCCGAACUGCAUUUGAAACUGUGGGUCUUGAGUAUCGUAGAGGCAGGCGGAAUUCCAAGUGGAGCGGUGAAAUGCGUAGAUAUUAGGAGGAACACCAGAGGCGAAGGCGGCCUGCUGGACGACAACUGACGGUGAGGCGCGAAAGCGUGGGGAGCAAACAGGAUUAGAUACCCGGGUAGUC